ensembl:lncRNA
GUGAGGGCCUUUUAAGAAGCGGUUGGCAGUGUCCCCCUGGGGCGGGAGAGGCGAAGGUGUCUGAGCAUCCAGUGUGUCAGCACCGAGUGGCUGGGGUGGGAGGUGGUGCAGCAGGGUGACAGGCCAGGGAGCUGCGAAAGCGGAGGCAGCGAGGUGGGUGGCAAGAAGAAAGCCAGAGAGGGAGGUGGCAGCCAAGGGCAGCCAAGGGGGUGCUUCUAAGAAAGGAGCCCCUUUCCUUGAGUCAAGCCACUGGAGACCCCAGUGUUUGUGACUGGACAGGGUCCAUGGCAGGAGGAAGGGGGGCCCAGAGUGGGGGACAGCCCAAGGGGCAAGGCCCGAGGACCCCCACCCCCAACCCGAGGGCUCUCAGCCCCCACUUUGCAGACUGGGAGACCAAGGCGCAGAGGCUGCUGCCAACCACGGGAUUCCGGCCCGGGCUUCUGCCCUCCUCUGCGUUUUUGUGGUUAAGGUUGAGUCAUGUUUCUGGGACAUCAGUUCUAGUCAUUUUGGAGGCCACUCCUCUAGAGUUUUCAGCAGUCAGUCCUUCAAAAGAAAUCCGAGACUUGAGCCUUUCAACUUGGGUCCGCUCUGUCUACCGUGCAGUCUCAGGUUUUGCUCAAGUGUAACUACAGAGCUUUAAUGAAGUGUUCUCGCGAGUUCCCCUUUCCUGCCAUUUCGGUCUCAUCUCCUCGGCUCCUGUGUCCACGUUCGGGGGCCCUGCACCGUGUGGGACGGCCGGCGCUGCCCAGCUGCGCGUCCUGGGUUCCAGUCCCAGCCUGCAGGGUUGCCACACCGUCCAGAAUCACCCCCGCCCCGGGAUAGUACCAGGCACCCCGGGACAGUACCGGGCACCCUGGGACAGUACCGGGCACCCUGGGACCGCCUGCUGGGAAAUCAGCUGGUCAGAACCAUCCCUGUGGGCUCGGAGGGUGGGGCUGGGUGUUUUAAACUGUCACCCGGGAUCCUGGUUUCAUUCGGGUACGAGGAGGCCAGCAGAGCAGGAGACGACUGCCGUGAAAAGACAGUUUGUUACUCUCAGUGCCCAGGAGGAGGGGCGUGCCAGCCACGCAGAGCCACAGGGGGAGCACCAGCGUCUGGGAGGGGAAAGCACCGUGAGAGCCUUUGUUGUGGUUUUCCAGGAAGAAAUGGUGAGGCAGGGUUCUGCACCCGAGAUGAGGGCCUCCCUUGCCUCCCCCUGGCUCAGCCCUGUUGGGGGUAGGUGGGGAGUGCCUGGGCUGCAGCCAGAGGAUGGGGACAACCUCACAAGGAAACUUCCUGACUCCAUCUGGUGGUGUUCAUUCACCCACCUGCCCACCCUCCCUCCAUCUUCCACUGUCCAUUCUUCCAUCCAUCCCUCCAUCGCCCAUCCAUCUGUCCAUAUGCACAGCGCUUAAGAACUUGCAUUCUGCAUUUAUGGCCUGAGUUUGCAUCCUGGCUGCCCAUCUUGGUGACCUGUGACGUCCAUUCAACACCCACACUUCCCGUUUGAUGUAUUUUUACACUUAAAAAUUAUUCAUAUAAUACUUGAAUACAUUGUUUAAAAAUCAUCUAUUAAUCUCUAAUCUUCACAGACAUUCAGUGAGAUAGAUGUGAUCAUCCCCAUUUUAUAAUGAGGAGCUGAGGCCCGGAGGGUAAGGUGUCCUGUCCAAGGUUCCAUGGUCUAUGAGUGAUAGCAACGUGAGACCUGAGAGUCUAGGUCACAAAGCCGGCCACGUCCGUCUUCCCCCGUCACUGCGUCUCCUGAGGGUGGAGCGAGGUCCAGAGGGCCCUGGAGAGCCCGUCGGACGGCAGACAAUCCACAGAUGAUUCUAUGCACGUGAUGAGUUCUGGGAACAGGUGUGAACAGGUAAUGAUGGAUUCUCGGUGGGGAGAACCCGUGAAGGGGGCACGGAGGAGGGUGUUGUGUGAGUUGGCUUGGAAGAGAGAAGGCCGACGAAGGAAGGGCCUCAAGUGGUGGGAACAGCAUGUGCAAACUGCAGCAGUGGAGACUGAGCGGGUGACAUCUAGGCACAUCCUGGGCUGGAGCACUUGCUGUUAGGGACAGAAAGGAAGCAGCCUUGGCGGGAAAUUCCUCUUGUACCGGACGCCACAGAAGGGCAUUCACAUCCCUUGUCUCAAGGGCGGCUCACCACACCCCUGCCAGGUGGCUGUUGUGAUCCCGUUUCAGUGACGAGUGAGGCUGAGCCUCAGAGAGUUUCCGUGAUACCCCCGGGUCACACAGCCAGACGGCGGGGAGCUAGCAGCCAGCCCCAGCUCUGACGUGCACUUUAGAAAGGUCACUCUCACUGUCAUGUGAAAGAAGGACUUGGUAAGACAGAGAAAAGCAGAGAGACUCAAAUGAUCUUCACAAGGGGGCCAAGAGCAUUCAGUGCGGGAAAGGGCUGUCUUUUCAAUGAGUGGUGCUGGGAAAACCGGAUCUCCACAUGUGAAAGGAGGAAGUUAGUCCCUACCUCACGCCGUACACAAAACUUCACUCAAAAUGGAUCAGGGACCUAAGUGUAAGGCCUAAAACAGUAAAACUCUUAGAAGAAAACACAGGACCAAAGAUUCAUGAUGCUGGAUUUGGUGAUGAUUCCUUGCAUAAGACUCCAAAGGGACAGGUAACAAAAGGAAAAAUAGACAAAUUGGACUUCAUGAAAAUUUAAAAAUUUUGUGCAUUAAAAAUUACUGUCAACAGAGUAAAAAGGUAACUCCCAGAAUGGGAGAAAAUAUUUACAAAUCAUAUAUCUGAUAAGGAAUUAAUAUCCAGAACAUACAGAGAAGUAAAACUCAACAACAACAAAAAACCCAAAUCAAAAAUGGGCAAAUGACUUGAAUUGACGUUUUUCUAAAGAAGACAUGCAAAUGGCCGAUAAGCACAUGAGAGAUGAUCAACACCACUGAUCAUGAGGGAGAUGCAAAUCAAAACCGCAGUGAGUACCACCUCACACCCAUCAGGAUGGCUGUUAUAUUAAAAAGCAAACAAAUGGAAAAUAAGAAGUGUUGGUGAGGAUGUGGACAGACUGGAACCCUCGUGCACCUUUGGUGGGAAUGGAAAAAGGUACAGCUGCUCUGGAAAACCGUGUGGUGGUUCCUCAAAAAGUUAAAAAUAGAGUUACUAUAUGACCCAGAAAUUCCACCUCUGGGUAUACACCCAGAAGAACGGAAAACAGUCUCGAACAGAUAUUUGCACACCCAUGCGCACAGCAGCAUUAUUCACAACAGCCAAAAUGCGGAAGUAACCCAAGUGCCCGUCAACAGAUGAGCGGAUAAACAAAAUGGGGCACAUCCAUACCAUGGAAUAUUAUUCGGCCCUAAAAAGGAGGGGAAUUCUGACACGUGCCACAACACAGAUGAGCCCUGAGGACAUUAGGCUGAGUGAAGUAAGCCACAAAAGGACAAAUAGCGUAUGAUUCUCUUUAUAUGAGGUCCCUACAGUAGUCAGACUCAUAGAGACAGAAAGUAGGAGGGUGGUUGCCAGGGCCUGGUGGAGGGGGAUGCGGAGUGACCGUUUAAGGGGCACAGUUUCAGUUUUACAAGAUGAAAAGAGCUGUGGGGGGAGGUGCUGGUUGUAAAACAUGAUGACGGUGCUUAAUACCACGGAACUAUGCACUUAAAAAUGGUCAAGGCGGUAAAUUUGAUGUUCUCUGUACCCACAACAUAGUGUACACAUAGAGACACAACAGAGUGUGAUGGAUUCACGGAUCUGGAGCCCCACAGCAGGAUGCAGAAACGUAGCUGGGCGUCAUCGACGUGCAGGUGACCACAAGGGCACGAUCUCCACGAGCUUGCUCAUGGACGCUUUGAGGAGAGAAGAGGGCUGAGGUCAGAUCCCUCUAGAGCUCAGCGGUAUGGGGUCCAAGCUGGAGGAAGGGCCCGGAGAUGAGGAUGAGGUCAGGGAGGUGGAGGGACGGGAGGAGAGUGUCAGGGAAGGCGAGGGAGGGGUCAGGAGGCACCUGGUCCCCCUCGUUCAGAGAGUCUUUGCUCCCUCCUGGGCCCAGCACCCCUCCACUUUCAGUCCGUGUGAUUUGUGGGGCUGACCCACCCCCAGCUCCAGGAAGCGGGGAGAGAAGGCCUGGCCUGGGUCCAGCUAAUAAUAUUCCAUCUCCUGGCUCUGGUGAUUGGCUCAAGAGUGGGCCUGUGACCAACGUAGGGCCUGGAGAUUCAAUCAUG